ACGGAGGGUGCAAGCGUUGUCCGGAUUUAUUGGGUUUAAAGGGUGCGUAGGCGGCUAUUUAAGUCAGUGGUGAAAUCCUGCAGCUUAACUGUAGGCGUGCCAUUGAUACUGAGUAGCUUGAGUACAGGCGAGGCAGGCGGAAUUGAAGGUGUAGCGGUGAAAUGCAUAGAUAUCUUCAAGAACACCGAUUGCGAAGGCAGCUUGCUAGACUGUAACUGACGCUGAGGCACGAAAGUGCGGGGAUCGAACAGGA
rnacentral:rRNA from 1 species